CCUACGGGAGGCAGCAGUGGGGAAUUUUGGACAAUGGGGGCAACCCUGAUCCAGCCAUCCCGCGUGUGCGAUGAAGGCCUUCGGGUUGUAAAGCACUUUUGGCAGGGAAGAAACGGCACCGGAUAAUACCGGGUGUCACUGACGGUACCUGCAGAAUAAGCACCGGCUAACUACGUGCCAGCAGCCGCGGUAAUACGUAGGGUGCAAGCGUUAAUCGGAAUUACUGGGCGUAAAGCGUGCGCAGGCGGUUCGGAAAGAAAGAUGUGAAAUCCCAGAGCUUAACUUUGGAACUGCAUUUUUAACUGCCGGGCUAGAGUAUGUCAGAGGGGGGUAGAAUUCCACGUGUAGCAGUGAAAUGCGUAGAGAUGUGGAGGAAUACCGAUGGCGAAGGCAGCCCCCUGGGAUAAUACUGACGCUCAUGCACGAAAGCGUGGGGAGCAAAGCAGGAUUAGAUACCCUGGUAGUCCACGCCCUAAACCC
rnacentral:rRNA from 1 species